ACGAACGCUGGCGGCGUGCCUAAUACAUGCAAGUAGAACGCACAGUUUAUACCGUAGCUUGCUACACCAUAAACUGUGAGUUGCGAACGGGUGAGUAACGCGUAGGUAACCUGCCUGGUAGCGGGGGAUAACUAUUGGAAACGAUAGCUAAUACCGCAUAAUAUUGAUUAUUGCAUGAUAAUUGAUUGAAAGAUGCUAUUGCAUCACUACCAGAUGGACCUGCGUUGUAUUAGCUAGUAGGUGAGGUAACGGCUCACCUAGGCGACGAUACAUAGCCGACCUGGGAGGGUGAUCGGCCACACUGGGACUGAGACACGGCCCAGACUCCUACGGGAGGCAGCAGUAGGGAAUCUUCGGCAAUGGACGAAAGUCUGACCGAGCAACGCCGCGUGAGUGAAGAAGGGUUUCGGAUCGUAAAGCUCUGUUGUAAGAGAAGAACGGGUGUGAGAGUGGAAAGUUCACACUGUGACGGUAUCUUACCAGAAAGGGACGGCUAACUACGUG
rnacentral:rRNA from 1 species